GAAAAUUUAGUUAAAAUUAUAACAUUAUCAUGUCAAAAUAAAAUUAUUAAUAUAAAUAAUUUUCC
rnacentral:tRNA from 1 species